AGAACUCCGUUUGCUCACUGCGAAUCUCACUGUUCUCUGGGUGCAGCUCCAGUGCAGCUGUAUUCCCUCUGCAUGGUGAAUGUCUGCUCUGAGAUUUCCCACAGCAACCAGCUCCCGUAGCGUCUCCCUUGGAGAAAACAUAAUUACCCAAGUGCUAGGACCGGAGCAGCACCACCAGCCCUACUUUCAGCACUUCAUUCAGAACUCCAUCUCAGCAUCAGCCCAUCUCCUCUUCUGCAAUAAUGCCUCCUCCCACCACAGCUCAGCCUGGCUUCACCCCAUCCCAAGGGGCUGAUCUGACAAAGGAGCAGAAGAGCCCAGCAGCUCCAGUGUAUCUAUCUAUUUUCUUUUCUCUUUAUUAGGCGAGCUACUGCCCAUCUCCUCCUUCUCCAUAGGCAUCUGGGCACAAAGCUGCUGAAAGAAACCAGCCUAUUCCUCUCUGUGCACAUGGAGAGCCC
ensembl:lncRNA